rnacentral:rRNA from 1 species
CCUACGGGCGGCAGCAGUGAGGAAUAUUGGUCAAUGGCCGGAAGGCUGAACCAGCCAUGCCGCGUGAAGGUCAGUGCCCUAUGGGCGUUAAACUUCUUUUGUGCGGGAGCAAUAAUGGUCACGUGUGGCCAGACGAGAGUACCGUACGAAUAAGCAUCGGCUAACUCCGUGCCAGCAGCCGCGGUAAUACGGGGGAUGUAAGCGUUAUCCGGAUUUAUUGGGUUUAAAGGGUGCGUAGGCUGUGAGGUAAGUCAGCGGUGAAAUGCCCCCGCUCAACGGGGUGAAGUGCCAUUGAUACUGCCUGGCUGGAAUGCGGAUGCCGUGGGAGGAAUGUGUGGUGUAGCGGUGAAAUGCAUAGAUAUCACACAGAACACCGAUUGCGAAGGCAUCUCACGAAUCCGCGAUUGACGCUGAUGCACGAAAGCGUGGGUAUCAAACAGGAUUAGAUACCCUUGUAGUC